rnacentral:rRNA from 1 species
GCGGCGCGCCUAACACAUGCAAGUCGAACGAGAGAGAGGGAGCUUGCUUCCUCAAUCGAGUGGCGAACGGGUGAGUAACGCGUGAGGAACCUGCCUCAAAGAGGGGGACAACAGUUGGAAACGACUGCUAAUACCGCAUAAGCCCACGGGUCGGCAUCGACCAGAGGGAAAAGGAGCAAUCCGCUUUGAGAUGGCCUCGCGUCCGAUUAGCUAGUUGGUGAGGUAACGGCCCACCAAGGCGACGAUCGGUAGCCGGACUGAGAGGUUGAACGGCCACAUUGGGACUGAGACACGGCCCAGACUCCUACGGGAGGCAGCAGUGGGGAAUAUUGCACAAUGGGGGAAACCCUGAUGCAGCGACGCCGCGUGGAGGAAGAUGGUCUUCGGAUUGUAAACUCCUGUUGUUGAGGAAGAUAAUGACGGUACUCAACAAGGAAGUGACGGCUAACUACGUGCCAGCAGCCGCGGUAAAACGUAGGUCACAAGCGUUGUCCGGAAUUACUGGGUGUAAAGGGAGCGCAGGCGGGAAGACAAGUUGGAAGUGAAAUCUAUGGGCUCAACCCAUAAACUGCUUUCAAAACUGUUUUUCUUGAGUAGUGCAGAGGUAGGCGGAAUUCCCGGUGUAGCGGUGGAAUGCGUAGAUAUCGGGAGGAACACCAGUGGCGAAGGCGGCCUACUGGGCACCAACUGACGCUGAGGCUCGAAAGUGUGGGUAGCAAACAGGAUUAGAUACCCUGGUAGCCCACACCGUAAACGAUGAUUACUAGGUGUGGGAGGAAUUGACCCCUUCAGUGCCGCAGUUAACACAAUAAGUAAUCCACCUGGGGGAGUACGACCGCAAGGUUGAAACUCAAAGGAAUUGACGGGGGCCCGCACAAGCAGUGGAGUAUGUGGUUUAAUUCGACGCAACGCGAAGAACCUUACCAAGUCUUGACAUCCUGCGACGAUGCUGGAAACAGUAUUUUCCUUCGGGACGCAGAGACAGGUGGUGCAUGGUUGUCGUCAGCUCGUGUCGUGAGAUGUUGGGUUAAGUCCCGCAACGAGCGCAACCCUUACUGUCAGUUACUACGCAAGAGGACUCUGGCAGGACUGCCGUUGACAAAACGGAGGAAGGUGGGGAUGACGUCAAAUCAUCAUGCCCUUUAUGACUUGGGCUACACACGUACUACAAUGGCGUUAAACAAAGAGAAGCAAGACCGCGAGGUGGAGCAAAACUCAGAAACAACGUCCCAGUUUGGACUGCAGGCUGCAACUCGCCUGCACGAAGUCGGAAUUGCUAGUAAUCGUGGAUCAGCAUGCCACGGUGAAUACGUUCCCGGGCCUUGCACACACCGCCCGUCAA